GGAGGGAUGGGGAAGAGGAGCUGGGGGGAGCCCUGGGGGAGUCCCAAAGGCCCUGAGAUGAGGGCAGGCAGUGCCUGCAGGGGCUGCGUGCAGUGCCUGGUGUUGGGCUCCAUCCCCCAGCCCUGCAGCACCUCCCACUUCAGUUCAGUACAGUGUCAGCACAUGGAGCUAAAAAUGGGUCAGAUGGUGCGGUCUGGUUCUUAGCCCCAUCCCUCUUGCCUUGAAAGCCAAUCAAACUGCCUUUUAGUGUCGACCAGUUAAUGAAAACAAUUGCAUCUGUCUAUGGUAACUGAUUCCCAGCCACUCUUAAGCCUGGCAUUGGCUUGUUCCACUUUUCACAUUGGUGUCAGUGCUGCUCUCAUUUCCUCCUCGCUUGCAGCUGGCCGCUCUGUCCCUUCUGGUGCUGCUGCUUCACCUGGGCCAGGAUGUCCCGGAUUUUGCGCUGUGCCAUCUGGCUGGCAUAGAAGUGCCCGAUGAUCUUCACAAUGACCUGCUCAUUCUCAUCAGGGGUCUGAUCCCGUGGAACCACCACCUCUGCAGCCGUCAGGUUCUGCAGCUCAUUGACGGUUUUGCCCCCUUUGCCGAUCACCCUCCCUGCAGCCGAGGCGGGGACACGGAUGUGCGUCUCCAGCUUCACUUCUUCCUUGGGCCCAAAGAAGUUCUCCUCCUUCAGCUUCCCAUAAAUCCUGCCUUGUGCCUUGAACUGAGCUUCUGGAGGGCCCGUGAUGACCACCAUGCGCACUUUGGAGUCUGGCGUCUCCGGGGGUGCAAUCUUAAUAGAGGCACUUGCGAACCGGGAGAGCUGCUUGAUGUGCUGGCCCUUCUUGCCAAUGAUG
rnacentral:lncRNA from 1 species